GUCUGUGUGGAGUUACAUGGAGUCUGACCUGCCCGUUGAAGAGAUUUGAAAGGCCGCGGUAUAUUAACUGUGCAAAGGUAGCAUAAUCAUUAGCUUUUUAAUUGAAGGCUUGUAUGAAGGGUUGGACAAAGAAAAGACUGUCUUUAAUUUUAGAUUUGAAUUUAACUUUUAAGUGAAAAGGCUUAGAUAUAUUUGGGGGACGAUAAGACCCUAUAAAUCUUUAUAUGGAAUGGUUUGUUAUUAUGUUAAUGUCUGUUAAGUGUGAAAUAAAUUAUAAAUAUUUUGUUGGGGUGACAAGAAUACAAAAUUAACUGUUCUUAGAUUAUACAAAUUUAUUUGGUUAAAGUUAAUAGAUCCUUUAUAGAGAUCAAUAGUUUAAGUUACUUUAGGGAUAACAGCGUUAUUUUUUUUGAGAGUUCUAAUCGAAAAAAAAGUUUGCGACCUCGAUGUUGAAUUAAAGUUUCUCUGUGGUGCAGGGGUUACAGGAGGAAAGUCUGUUCGACUUUUAAAAUUUU
rnacentral:rRNA from 1 species